ACGUAGGACGCGAACGUUAUCCGGAGUUACUGGGCGUAAAGCGCGCGUAGGCGGUUAUUUAAGUUACCUAUGAAAGAUACAGGCUAAACUUGUAUUGGUUAGGUAAAACUGGAUAACUAGAGAGAAAUAGAGGGAAGUAGAAUUCCGGGUGUAGUGGUGAAAUGCGUAGAUAUCCGGAGGAAUACCAGUGGCGAAGGCGGCUUCCUGGAUUUCCACUGACGCUGAUGCGCGAAAGCGUGGGUAGCGAACGGG
rnacentral:rRNA from 1 species